UGGGGGAUAUUGCACAAUGGGCGAAAGCCUGAUGCAGCAACGCCGCGUGAGGGAAGACGGUUUUCGGAUUGUAAACCUCUGUCUUUGGUGAAGAAAGAAAUGACGGUAGCCGAGGAGGAAGCCACGGCUACCUACGUGCCAGCAGCCGGGGUAAUACGUAGGUGGCAAGCGUUGUCCGGAAUUACUGGGUGGAAAGGGGGCGCAGGCGGGAGAGCAAGUCAGCUGUGAAAACUAUGGGCUUAACCCAUAAACUGCAGUUGAAACUGGUGUUCUUGAGUGGGGUAGAGGUAGGGGGAAUUCCGAGUGUAGCGGUGAAAUGCGUAGAUAUUCGGAGGAACACCAGUGGCGAAGGCGGCCUACUGGGCUCUAACUGACGCUGAGGCUCGAAAGUGUGGGGAGCAAACA
rnacentral:rRNA from 1 species